GUAACUGUGCCAACCAUGUGAUCGGCGACGAACCACCUACGCCUGCAAGUGUAGGUGGAGAAAGGACUCACUCUGUAAUUAAAACAGAUGAACGGCGCCACGUCCGUCAGUAUUCGUGGUGGAGAAGUGACGCAAUUAAUUGUAAGAAGCCCUCGUUCGCGAGGUAGGUAUUUUAAAUGUUUGGAAUUUAUGGCUCUGAGUGGAUUUCCACUUAGUGUUUUCCGUCACAGUAUUUAGUUAGUGAUACAUUGUUUACAGCAUUUAUUGGCAUGCAUUCCUUCCAACUCAUACACUUAAUAUAUUGCAAUACCUACUUA